rnacentral:rRNA from 1 species
UACAGAGGGUGCGAGCGUUAAUCGGAAUUACUGGGCGUAAAGCGUGCGUAGACGGCUAUCUAAGUCGGGUGUGAAAGCCCCGGGCUCAACCUGGGAAUUGCAUUCGAGACUGAAUAGCUAGGGUACGGUAGAGGGAAGUGGAAUUCCCGGUGUAGCGGCGAAAUGCGUAGAUAUCUGGAGGAACACCGGUGGCGAAGGCGGCAUCCUGGACCGACAUUGACGCUGAGGCGCG